rnacentral:rRNA from 1 species
UACGUAGGGGGCGAGCGUUGUCCGGAUUUACUGGGCGUAAAGCGCGUGUAGGCGGCCGGAUAAGUUGGGUGUGAAAGCCCGGGGCUCAACCCCGGGACGCCGCCCAAGACUGUUUGGCUUGAGGACGGAAGAGGGGCGUGGAAUUCCAGGUGUAGCGGUGAAAUGCGUAGAGAUCUGGAGGAACACCCGUGGCGAAGGCGGCGCCCUGGUCCGUUUCUGACGCUGAGACGCGAAAGCGCGGGGAGCGAACGGG